GUCUAUGGCCAUACCACCCUGAACAUGCCCAAUCUCGUCUGAUCUCGUAAGCUAGGCAGGGUCGGACCUGGUUAGUACUUGGAUGGGAGAGAGGGGGAGAGAAAGAUAGACAGCUGCAGACC
rnacentral:rRNA from 1 species